UACAGAGGUCUCAAGCGUUGUUCGGAUUCAUUGGGCGUAAAGGGUGCGUAGGUCGGCGCGGUAAGUCGGGUGUGAAAUCUCGGAGCUUAACUCCGAAACUGCAUUCGAUACUGCGUGCUUGAGGACUGGAGAGGAGACUGGAAUUCAUGGUGUAGCAGUGAAAUGCGUAGAGAUCAUGAGGAAGACCAGUGGCGAAGGCGGGUCUCUGGACAGUUCCUGACACUGAGGCACGAAGGCCAGGGGAGCAAAACGGG
rnacentral:rRNA from 1 species